rfam:Virgibacillus sp. SK37, complete genome.
UCAAUCCUGAUGUGUUCGUCUAUUAAAAGUGUUUGACCGAACAACAUUAAAAAAGGGAGCUCGAAUUAGUUUCUAUAUUGCGUGCAUGCCUUGUCCAUUGGACGUGAGGAAGCAUAAUAAAUAUAGAACAGAGCACCCACCUGCUAUGAGCGGGAUCAAAACUUACAAUUAGACGGCACAAUCGGGACCUGA